GACGAACGCUGGCGGCGUGCUUAACACAUGCAAGUCGAACGAUGAAGCCGCUUCGGUGGUGGAUUAGUGGCGAACGGGUGAGUAACACGUGGGCAAUCUGCCCUGCACUCUGGGACAAGCCCUGGAAACGGGGUCUAAUACCGGAUACGACCAUCCGCCGCAUGGCCUGGUGGUGGAAAGCUCUGGUGGUGCAGGAUGAGCCCGCGGCCUAUCAGCUUGUUGGUGGGGUGAUGGCCUACCAAGGCGACGACGGGUAGCCGGCCUGAGAGGGCGACCGGCCACACUGGGACUGAGACACGGCCCAGACUCCUCCGCGAGGCAGCAGUGGGGAAUAUUGCACGAUGGGCGCAAGCCUGAUGCAGCGAGGCCGCGUGAGGGAUGACGGCCUUCGGGUUGUAAGCCUCUUUCAGCAGGGAAGAAGCUUUCGGGUGACGGUACCUGCAGAAGAAGCACCGGCUAACUACGUGCCAGCCGCCGCCGUAA
rnacentral:rRNA from 1 species